GGCAGUAUUGCCAUAUAGACCCAGAAGGAUGGACCCUAAUCCAUUCCCUCCACUUGCAAGAGGGAGGAGAGGCCGAGGAGGGAACAACCUUUUUGCUAAUCAUGACAGGAAUAGACCGGGGACAAACUGGAGGAAUCAUCCAGAAGUCGAAGAGCAGGAAGAACACAGGGAGGAAGUUCCACCCAGACCACACAGAGCAGAACCCAGGUUUGAUUACGUUCAGCCAGAGCAGGGACAAAAUCUUCCCCCAGUCAAUGCUUUGAAUGACAUAGGAGCAUUG
rnacentral:lncRNA from 1 species